GGAUUGUGGCUUAGUGGUAGAGCGCUUGCCUAGCAUGUGUGAGGCACUGGGUUCAAUCUUCAGCACCA
rnacentral:tRNA from 1 species